GGAUUUAUACCAUUCGUGGAACAUGUCAUUUAAUUCGUAAAUACACGCAAAACCUUACCAACUUUUGAAUAAUUUUGUAUUCUAAUGAAGAAAUUUGUUAUGUUAAAAAUUACAGGUACUGCAUGGCUGUCGUCAGCUCGUGUCUUGAGAUGUUAGGUUUAGUCCAGUAACGAGCGAAACCCUUCUUCUUUGUUGCAAAAGACUAUUUACUCGGUUGUAUCAAUUGAGUUAUAUCUGUGUACUUAAAGAGUAUUGCCUAUGAUAUAUAGGAUGAAAGAAAGGAUGACGUCAAGUCUUCAUGGUCCUUAUAAGUUGGGCUAUCGAUGUGUUACAAGGGUAACUACAGUGAGAUGCAAUAAUGAAAAUUGAAGCAAAUCUAUAAAAGCUACCUCAGCUCGGAUUGUUUUCUGUAACUCGAAAACAUG
rnacentral:rRNA from 1 species